CAGGUAUCCAGUUUCAUCGGAGAAACAUAUUCACGAGGACGACCUCUUUUCCUAUCCUGUCUGGUGGAUUCAUCUUCUCAACGGAUGGAUGCUUGGCCGUAUUUCCCAGGCACAAAGUAAGAAAUUCACCUCGAGAUAUUUACGGCGAUGGUUGGGAUCGUUUGUCCGCUUAUCCUGCAAUAUCAAUAUGUUGUCCGCCUCCUGGGAGGCUUUUGCUCCGCCGAAGAUGGAACUGGUAGACAAUUCUUCCAUCGCUUCCUGAUGAAAAAAAAAAACCAAAAGUAUGAGCCAAACUAUUUGGUUUCAAGUUAACCAAAAGGGAAGAAAACACAAGAGAAUAGAGAGAGAGAAAAAGGGGCGAUAGGUGGCACAACAACAAGACACACAAUCACGUCAUCGCCCCAUCAGGUAGCGGUAUUGUUUUCAUUUUAUCAAAGAAGAAGGGAGGAGGAAACAGGCCAGCCAGCCAGCCAGCAACCCAAACUCGAAACCAAAAGAAGAACCUUUCUCGGGUGGAUGACUAGAGUGACGUGGACGUUAUUGUCGGUGGC